AUGCUCACUUUGGCAGCACAUAUACCAAAAUUGGAAUGAUACAGAGAAUGUUAGCAUGGUCGCUGCAUAACGAUAAUGUGAAAAUUCAUCAAGAGUUCCAUAUUUUU
ensembl:snRNA U6 U6 spliceosomal RNA